UUUUGUGGGUAUAACUCUCGUUUCGGUGAAACGCACAAACUCAAAGCAUCGUCAAGAAGUUCUGAUACUGCUGGGGUCGUGGAUGAUGCAGGGAGAAUAGUAGGAUCGAUUCGUUUCGUCUAAACUGAAAGUUCAUACUUUUUCGCUUGCGCCAUGAGUGGAGUAAAGUGGAAAAAGCACUAAAUUCUCAUUAUCAGCGAUUCCCAAAUUUGCUCACCCUCAAAUUCUAUUUCUUUCCCGUUUCAACUAACUCUUUCAGGUCUUUUGAAAUCCAUUGAAGAUGUCUGGCGGGUUCUUCCGAGGCACCUCUGCCGAUCAGGAUACUCGUUUCUCGAACAAACAGGCGAAGCUGUUGAAAUCCCAGAAGUUCCCCCCGGAAUUGGAUCAUUUGGUGGAUAUGACUAAGGUGAAGAUAGAUACGGUUAAACCCUGGAUAGCUAAGAGGGUAACAGAGCUUCUUGGAUUUGAGGACGAAGUACUUAUCAACUUCAUAUAUGGCCUGCUAGAUAGAAAGGACGUGAAUGGAAAAGAGGUGCAAAUCCAUCUCACUGGAUUCAUGGAGAAAAACACUGGAAAAUUCAUGAAAGAACUUUGGACUCUACUGCUCAGUGCUCAGAAAAAUGCUAGUGGUAUCCCUCAACAAAUAUUGGAUGCUACAGACGAGGAACUUAGGAAGAAAAAGGCGGAAGCAGAUCGAAUCACCCUUGAAAUUCAUAAGAGGAAAGAGAAAGAGGGAAGGGAGCUCCAGCUAGAGAAGCUGAAGAAGAUGGACAGCGGUGAUGAUGAAUCGAGGGCCAAUAAAGCUGCACCUGAUCCUGUCUUGAAGCAUUCACAGGCCAGAGGCUCCAGUGAAGAGAACGAAGCUGACGAGAGGAAUGGAUCCAGGAAGAUGAACAGGGCAUCCAAAUCUCCAAAUUCAGUGGAUCGUUCCUCUUUUAGUCGCUCCCCUUCCAGGUCAGUCAGCAAGUCAUUUUCCAAUUCAAGGAGCUACUCAGAUGAAAGGCACAGAUCAAGGAGCAUAUCCAGAUCACCUCAAACACGAAGGCAUUCUAUUUCUCCCGAAAAGUGGAAUCGAUCUCCAAGGAAGCGGUCUGUUUCUCCUCAUUACCGGCAUUCUCCGCGAAAACCUCGUUCUCCUUUACGGCGGAGAUCACAUCAUUCAAGACACAGGUCAUCAUCAUAUUCGCAGCGUAGAUCGCUUUCUCCUGUGCGGCGUAGACUGUCCUCUCCAUCAAGACGUAGAUCACCUUCUCCUGUGUGGCGUAGAUCGCCUUCUCCUGUGAGAAAUAGAUCUCCUCCUCCUCUGCGGCAUGGAUUACUUUCUCCUGUGCGACGUAGAUCACGUAGAUCUCCAUCGCCUCCACGUCGUAGGUCUCCUCCUAUGCGUAGGAGGUCUCCUUUUAGUGUCCGUAGGAGGUCACCGGCUCCUUCCCGACGUCGGUCUCCUCCUUCUAGGUGGAGUUCCCCAUCACCAGUUCGGGGCAGGUCACCCUCUCCAGUUAGGAGAUCUCCUCUUUCUAGGUUCCCAAGCCAUAGGAGGAGAUCACCAUUGCGAUCUUCAAGACAGAGAUAUAGGAGUCGUAGUCCUUAUAAAAGUCGCAGUCCUGCAUAUCGAAGUCGUAGAAGCUUGAGUAGGGACCGUGAUCUUAGAGCUAAUGGUAUGGAAUCCAGAAGUGCACGUGAUGAUUAUGUCUCGCAAAGGGUCCCUGGGAAGACAUCUCCUGUUCGUCAUACUCCCAAGAGAGAGGUUGAACGACUAGGUCAGGCACACAGGGGAUCAGAUUCGGAGUCUCACCAACCACGAAUUUCGUUGAGAUCACCACAACGAGAUCCUACCAUCCGAAGGAACAAUCAGAAAAAGCUUGCUUUGGCUCAUUCACCGGAUUCAUCUCAAAGGUCGCCAGAAUCAUCACCGCACAUGGGGAAAUCAAGCCCUCAGGAUGAUAGGGCCUGCAAUCCAUCUGAGAGUCCUGUGAGGCAAGGGAAAGAAAGGAUGAGUCAUGGCAGUCCAAGUCCUGUGAGACAACCAAGAAAACAUAUAGCUCAUCAUGACAGCUCAGAAACAAGUUCGGAGGAAGAGAUGGGUCAUGCCAGGGAGGAUGGGGAUUAUAGAACUAAUCAUUCGGAAAGAAGAAUCAGGCAUUCACCCACAUUUGGCCAUAAGAACAAUUAUUCUGUGGAGGACUUCCAAGAGAAAUUGUAUCCCCCUGAAAGAGUGGAUGGUCAUCAGUCUGCCGAAGAUAUGGGCCAUCCAGAUAACACAGAGCUGAAAAAGAAAGACCAGGACAAAAAGAGUUUGAAAGCUUCAAUGGGAACUGAUCAUUCAGAAAAUCCCAUCCAAAAAGAUUCUACUUUGGUGGGAGAUAUUGAGUAUGGGCCUGGGAGGCAAGAUGGAAGAAGCUUUGUACCGGAUGAUAGUCAGGUUGGACCACAAUCUGCUAAGAAACGUGGAAGAGUUUCUCCUUCAUCAUGUGAAAAAUUACAGAAAUCAUAUUCCAGAGAAGGUAAUAAAUCAGAGGAGAGGAAGCAUUCCCAUUCAAGCAAUGCUGAGGAGAGGGACCGGGGUCACAUGACAGAAAUAUUACGGAAAUCAAUAAAGAAGGUUGAUAGGAAGAAUCGUCCUGGUGCCUCUGAUUCUGAUUCUGAUUCAGAGGAAAAUGGGAAACACAGAUCUGAUUAUAUGGAGAAGAGAAAGCAUAAGAAGUCAAGUAGGCAUGAAGUGGCUUCGGAUGAUAAUGCAUAUGAUGAUUCUGAAAUAGAUGAAAGGAAGGAGGCCAAGAGAAGAAGGAAGGAAGAGAAGAGAUUGAGGAAAGAGGAGAGGCGGCGACGAAGGGAAGAACGCCACCGUAGAAGGGAAGAACGCCGUGCGAGUAAGCUGAAAGCCAAAUCAGUGGACACAGUUGCUCCACCUUCAGAUUUUGAAAAAAUUCGAAAUGAUGUGGAUGAUUCAGAACUUGAGGUUGAUGCCAGGAAAGAUUCAAAUCCAAGUGACACUGACGAAACACAGUCUAAGCAGAAAAAACUUGAGAUUGAGCUGCGAAAGAAGGCUCUUGAAUCGCUAAGAGCAAAGAAGGGCACUAAUUACUAAAUUGUUACUUCUUUUUUUUCCGACAGUAUCUAUUAACAUUUACUAUUAAACAAUAUUUUGCUAGAAAUGGGAGUUUUCCUGUUAUGUAAUAGUUGUUUAAUGGAGUCUGUGUUUACUGCUGGCAGCUUUACCUGAUAAAUGAAGAUUCCUGAGCCAUACUAGAUGUGCAACUUUGUGCAGAACUUGCUGCUAGAUUUUUCUGAUGAGAAUACUGUCAACUAGGUGACUUGGUUGAGCAGGGCCUUGUGCAGUACCAGUUUUUGUACAUCAAAUCAGCUUGACAGUGCUGGGACUGUUUUAAAAUUCACCAAGAUGAUAUAGGCUACCGAGUCAUCCUAUCUUGAUCUUGAUGUCAGCUCUUAACUUUCUGUGGACCACAUCACAAUGUAUGUAUGAAUGCUGAUAAACUGUAAAAAGUUAAUGCAAACUUAUUUUUCAUUUGAGUUUUGAAGUUCAUUGUGUUUGUACUUACCAGGGAUCCUUUGUUUGUUUCAUCUUCUUUUUUUUCUCCCUUCUCUUUUGAUGGAAGUGGGAUUCUGCUAAUGUGGUGUCUUACUGAAUGAGAUCUGGACAUAAAUGUCUUAUUUGUUUCAUCCAUUUCCUUUUCCUGUUGCAGUCUUGAUUGUAUCUGAAUAUUUGACCUGUUAGUGACCAAACUGAAUUAUAUAGCGGCUGUGGCCUUGUAAAUUAGUGUGUACGGCCUUGUCAAGGCCUGAUCUGUUACAGGUGCAAAAAAUCUUUGGUUCAAUAAGUUUGACAUG